UUUAAAUUGAGAGCUGAACAUUAAAGAAUUGAGCCUUGAUCAGAGAACUUUGUCUUGGCUUCAUCCCUUUUCACCCUCCGUCCACCUUUCAUUCCCAGCCCCACUUUCAGAUGAACCCAGUUGAUCCAUGGCCACAGGCAGCUACCAUGAACCCCUCUGGCACCAAUCGAAAUUUCAGAAACCAGAGUCAGAAGCCAAUGACCAGGAGCCUAUUGGGACUACACAGAGAGACAGCCACAUCUUUUUGUGCAGUGCCAGCCUCGACCCAUAGACAAGAUGCUGAAGGUCGGUGUGAACAGAUUUGGCCGUAUUGGGGGCUUGGUUACCAGGGCUGCCUUCUGGCAAAGUGGAGACUGUUGCUAUCACCGACCCCUUCAAUCACCUCAACUACACGUUCCAGUAUGACUCUACCCAUGGCAAAUUCAACGGCGCAGUCAAGGCUGAGAAUGGGAAUCUUGUCAUCAACAGGAAGCCCAUCACCAUCUUCCAGGAUCGAGAUCCAACUAACAGCAAAUAAGGUAAUGCUGAUACUGAGUAUGUUGUGGAGUCUACUGACAUCUUCACCACCAUGGAGAAGGCCGGGGCCCACUUGAAGGGUGGGGCCAAAAGACUCAUCAUCUCCGACCCUUCUGCCAAUGCCCCCAGGUUUGUGAUGGGUAUGAACCACGAGAAAUAUGACAACUUAAGAUUGUCAGCAAUGCAUCCUGCACCACCAAUUGCUUAGCCAAGGUCUUCCAUGACAAUUGACAUCCUGGAAGGGCUCAUGACCACAGUCCAUGCCAUCAUUGCCACUCAGAAGACUGUGGAUGGCCCCUCUGGAAAGCUGUGGCAUGAUGGCUAUGGGGCUGCCCAGAACAUCAUCCCUGCAUCCAGUGGUGCUGCCAAGGCUGUGGGCAAGGUCAUCCCAGAGGUGAAUGGGAAUGGGUGGGCAUGGCCUUCUGUGUUCCUACCCCAAUGUGUCUGUUGUGGAUCUGACAUGCCUCCUGGAGAAACCUGCCAAGUAUGAUGACAUAAAGAAAUUGAUGUAGCAGGCAUCCAAGGGCCCACUAAUGGGCAUCCUGGGCUACACUGAGGACCAGGUUGUCUCCUGUGACUUCAACAGCAACUCUCACUCUUCCACCUUUAGUGCUGGGGCAUUGCUCUCCAUGACAACUUUGUAAAGCUCAUUUCCUGGUAUGACAAUGAAUACGGCUGCAGCAACAGGGUCAUGGACCUCAUGGUCUACAUGGCCUCCAAGGAGUAAGAAACCCUAGACCACCCACCCUAGCAAGGACACUGAGAGCAAGAGAGAGGCCCUCGGUUGCUGAGGAGUCCCUGCCCAAUUGAGCCCCCAACACUGAGCAUCUCCCUCACAAUUUCCAUCCCCGACCCCCAUAAUAACAGGAGGGGACUAGGGAGCCCUCCCUACUCUCUUGAAUACCAUCAAUAAAGUCCACUGCACCCACAAAAAAAAAAAGAUAAAUAUGCUUAGUCAAUAAGUUUAAACU